ACGAACGCUGGCGGCAUGCCUAACACAUGCAAGUCGAACGAGACCUUCGGGUCUAGUGGCGCACGGGUGCGUAACGCGUGGGAACCUGCCCUUAGGUUCGGAAUAACUCCCCGAAAGGGGUGCUAAUACCGGAUAAUGUCUUCGGACCAAAGAUUUAUCGCCUUUGGAUGGGCCCGCGUUGGAUUAGCUAGUUGGUAGGGUAAAAGCCUACCAAGGCGACGAUCCAUAGCUGGUCUGAGAGGAUGAUCAGCCACACUGGGACUGAGACACGGCCCAGACUCCUACGGGAGGUAGCAGUGGGGAAUAUUGGACAAUGGGCGAAAGCCUGAUCCAGCAAUGCCGCGUGAGUGAUGAAGGCCUUAGGGUUGUAAAGCUCUUUUACCCGGGAUGAUAAUGACAGUACCGGGAGAAUAAGCUCCGGCUAACUCCGUG
rnacentral:rRNA from 1 species